UACUUUUUCCUGCGGCGGCCGAGCAUGGAGCAGUACGAGGAGGACGUGGCCCUGCGCGCCGGGCGGCUGCUGGAGGACCUGUCCCUGUACGAGGCGUGCGCCGAGGGCGCGUUCGGCCGCGCCGCCCGCCGCGAGCCGCCGCCCGCCGAGCCCGAGGAGCCGCCGCGGGCCCGCAGGAGCAACGGCGCUGCGCCGCCCGCCGACGGCAGAGCCUUCGCGGGGCCGCCCUGCUGCGACGAGGGGCUCUGCACGCGCUCCGAGGUGGCGCUGCCCUGCUACAGCGGCUUCGCUGACAAGGGCAAGCGCUACUCGGCCGAGGGCUACCGCUGCAGCGGCGCCUACGAGCCCGGCUACGUGGCCAAGGGCGGCGGGCGGGCGCCCGAUGGCAAGUACGGCGCGGCCAGCCCGCGGGGCAGCCUGGCGGCCGCCGCGCCCGCCGCCGAGCACGGCAAGUUCCCCAGCCCGCGCUGCAGCCUGGGCGCCGCCGCGCCGCCCUACGACAAGUUCGGCAGCCCCCGCGGCAGCCUCGCCGUGCCCGGCCAGGACAAGUUCGGCAGCCCUCGCGGCAGCCUAGCGCAGUACGACGGCGCCGCGCUGAGCCCGCGCUCCAGCUACGCCAGCACGGCCAGCGACACGAGCAAGCACUCCAGCCCGCGCGCCAGCCUCACGAGCUACGACGGCGGCAGCAAGCCCAGCAGCAACCGCACGAGCGGCAUCAGCAUGGGCUACGAUCAGCGGCACGCCAGCCCGCGCUCCAGCACGGCCAGCCAGUACUCGGGCACCGCCAGCCCGCGCUCUAGCUACUCGGACUGCAGGUACGGCCCGCCGGGCAGCGCGGACCCGGACGGGGCGGGCGCCGCCGGGCUGCGCCUGGCCAGCCCGCGCUCCAGCGUGUGCGGCGCCGCCGUGGCCAGCCCGCGCUCCAGCAUCUCCAGCCAGAGCUCGCGCAGCUCGCGGGGCUCCAUGAGCGCCUACCCCGAGCUGCAGCUGCCCUCGCCACGCGCCUCCCUGCUCGCGCCCGGCCUGCAGGACGACGGCGCCGUGCCGGAGCCGGCCGACCUCUACCACGGCACCCGCGGGCAGUCCCCGCCGCGGCCGCAGCAGCACCCGGCGGCGCCGGGCCCCGACGCGGCGCCCCCCUACUCAUACAGCCCGACCAAAGGCUCCGCUUCGGCUCCAAAAUUCAAGCUUCCCUGCCAGGUGACGCCGUGCCGGGACAGCGGCCCCAGCCAGGCGGAGCGGCGGCUGGAAGCGCUGACGCUGGAGCUGGAGAAGGAGCUGGAGAUGCACAUGAAGAAGGAGUAUUUCGGUAUCUGUAUAAAAUGUGGAAAAGGGGUGUAUGGAGCGAGCCAGGCUUGCCAAGCAAUGGGCAAUCUCUAUCACACCAACUGCUUCACGUGCUGCUCUUGUGGGAGAAGACUACGAGGAAAAGCAUUCUACAAUGUCAAUGGUAAAGUCUACUGUGAAGAAGACUUCCUAUAUUCAGGUUUUCAGCAAACAGCAGACAAGUGCUUUGUUUGUGGACACCUCAUAAUGGAAAUGAUAUUACAGGCCCUUGGAAAGUCGUACCAUCCUGGCUGCUUCCGCUGCGUGGUAUGCAACGAAUGUUUGGAUGGAGUCCCCUUCACUGUAGAUGUGGAGAACAAUAUUUACUGUGUCAAAGACUAUCACACGGUUUUUGCACCAAAAUGUGCUUCCUGUAACCAGCCAAUUCUACCAGCACAGGGCUCUGAGGAGACCAUCCGAGUGGUGUCGAUGGACAAAGACUACCACGUAGAGUGUUACCACUGCGAGGAUUGUGGUUUGCAGCUCAAUGAUGAAGAAGGUCAUCGUUGUUACCCAUUAGAGGGCCACUUGCUCUGCCACAGCUGUCACAUUAGGCGCCUUAAUAUUAAAUUGCCAUCACAUCCACCUCCAAGCUACCCAAUGCAUGUCACAGAACUCUGAAGGACGUUUUCCAUUUACCAUAAGCCCUGUAAAAGAGAAGACAUCUAAAUAUUACUUUCACAUUCCCUUAAAGAUGAGAUGCGUGUAAUAACCAUCUAAACCAGCUAUUUAUUUUUUAAAUCAAAGGUGAGGGGUCCUUUCUGAUCUUGUACAUAUGCAUUCUUCUAUCUAGACAUUUUCACCAAGACACUUUCUACUUGAACAAAUAAUGCACCACUAAGCUGUAACUGUAAAUGGCAGCAUUUCUAGGAACGCUGUUACAAAGGGCUGUUCUGCGCUCCCUAUUCACUUCCCUUCAAUGGAGGUUUUGCCCAGAGGAAGUGGAAAUACAAGACCAGAUUCUCAGCAUGUGGAAAUGGAGACACUUCCACGCCAGCUCACAACAAGUCGAGAAUCUGAGGAAUCAGUUCUGAAAUGAUCACGUGUUAAACUCAACACACAGACUGAUGAAAUGACUUGACGUAUUUGGCAAGGCCAUUGCCACUUAGUUCCUGUGUUCUAUUGAUUUUUUGAAAGCCAUUUCUGGUGCUGUUGAAAAGUGCAAAGGACAUCCAAAAGACACUAAUUCUUAAAUGGAAUAAUUAACUCCCUUAACGGAACUGUCUGGUAGUCCUUUUUUGGGGAGGUAAAGGGAGGGACUGGAAAAAAUCCUGUUAAAUAUUUUUUUUUCUCUUAGGAAGAAACAAAGGGUAUAUUUUCCUGAACUUUUGCCAAACUUCUUUUGGCCUAGAUUCACCCGUCCUACUGAGUGCUCCUUGGCAAGUCACAUGCCCCUUUAAGCAGUCAAUUUAGUAAUUAAUAUGUACCAGUUUAUAAUUAAUAUAUUUAAGACCCAUGUUUUGAAGGAGUUACAGUGCAACUAGUGUCCUGCUGCUGCAGUGCAGCCUAGGAGGCCUGGCCUGCAGAAGGGUGAGCGCUGGGAGCCUGGCAAACAUCUGUGCGCAGGCGCUGGGCCCACCUCAAAGGAGGCUCAAAGUGCACGUGAGCCUCACAUGCCCCAGCUGCAGAUUCCAACACGGGAAAAAGUUGCCUUGAACUGCAUUAUAUAGAUAGGUCCAAUUCCUUGUGGUUAUUACAUAAAAAAAUACCAAAUGGAAUGUGUCAGAGCUGCAAGAUAAACUUUUAGCACCAUUUAUAGUGUAAUACUUUUUGAUUUAAGGAAGCUGCUUUGGACAUUUAGCUUUGAGGCAUUUUUGUGUGCUUGUCUUUACAAUGUGUUUUACGGAAGCCAAUUCAAAAAAAAAGGAAUGUUAAAAGACACAGAUAGGGUUUGAGUCUGCUCCUCUGAGCAAUUCAUCCCAUAACAGAUUUGAUAUUGAAAAGUGCUUUGCUCAACCAGCAAUGGGAGCAAAACCUGUGGAGUCACAGAAGCCAGAGGUGAGACAUUUACUGUGGGUGGCUUUCAGAGCACCCCCUGUCACUCUCCUUCAGCCAGUCACCCAUUAAUUUGUCUGUCUUCCUUAUAAUUCUACUCAGUUCAAAUGUGUCAAGUAUCAUCACAAGAAACUAUCUAAAGCUCCAUACAGAAUAAGCAAUGUGCUUAAAAACAGAAAGCAGCAGUUUUUCUCCCAGUAUUUUUCCAGACAGGUGCAUUCUGUUACUGUACAAUAAAAUACAGCUUUGUUUUUCCAGCCUCUAAUAGGAAAUCUGGUGCUUGAGUAAAAUUUGUCAGUUUUUGAUCAAGGAACAGAAAAAAAUAAACUAAUAAUGGUGUGCUGUACUGUGUAGUGUUAGGGGCAGUUUCUGUACGUUUUACCUCCUGUCUGGAGAAUUAUGUAAAUGAGAAAGCUUCUUUUAGUGGUUUCCUUAGGGCGUAUUCUUACAUUAAAUCAGUUCAACACUAUCACAGACUUUCUAGAAUUCAUUUUAUGAUGUGAUUAGUCGGCAGAAGCCUUGUCUAUGUCCUGAAGUUUCGAAUAUUUCCAUAAAUUUACUACAGUAACAACUUAGUCUCACUUGUACAGGAAUACACCCUGCCACCAUGGUAAGGCAGCCUUAAACACCCCACAGGACGUAGCUGUUCAAGGAGAUGCACAGUCCCUAGUGCACUGCAGGACGAGUUCCAAAGCAAGGACCAAAAUAAUAAUUUGUAAACAAAAGACCAACACAUUCAGAUAAUUGAGCAUUCAAAAAGGGGUUGUUUGGGUUUCUUUUCCUUUCAUUUGUGCAGAGGUUGUGUGUGUGUGUGUUGUAAGGUGGUGCUUCAGAAGGAAAGCGUGGCUAGAGGAGCUCUUUAAGACCAGAAAUUCCAGAGUAGUUAAGUAAACCAAAGCUCUAAAGGAGAGAAAAGCUGCUUUCUUGUGUUUCAAGAAAAGUUGAAAAGUUUGUGAUUCAUCCUGUAACUAAUGCCGUAACUAGAGUAUAUAAUUUGACUUAAAUUAAGUUUUCAUUUGAGAAAUAUUUUCAUUUUCUUUAAAAGAA